AGAUUCUAGAUUCUCCUGAAGCACACAUUACAACCUUUUACAAAUUAUAUUUAGACUUAUAUAAUGUAGACUAUUUUAUUUAAAGCCUAGGACUUUUCUGCAAUGACAAAAUUGAAUAAAAAUAUAAGUGUGAUGGAAAAUUUACAAGUUAGUGAUUAAAACAAGGAUCUGAAUGCCGAGGUGAAGACACAUUUAUGACCAGGCCAC
rnacentral:lncRNA from 1 species